rnacentral:other from 1 species
UUAGCCCUGCCCUGUUCGUGCUACGCAGACAAAGUCCUUGAACCGUAAGUUAAAAAACAUCGGGGCCCUAACUUCUUCGGCGGAUGUCAGGCCUUCACUGGAAGGCAGAAACCGCUGAUUCGGCCCCACCUGUUCCUAGGCAGUUCAAAGGAACUGUUUGCACACGGCAAUGGCGGGGCUUCU